GUGGGGAAAAACAUUGAGUCACCUGGAAUCCACGUUCAGCUGAGGUUGAACCAGCAAUCCUGGAAUCAGGGCACUACGGGUAACCACAUUCUCACUUUACAAAUGAUAACUCACACACCCCAUGGAAGAUCCGGGAAGUCUUCUGAUGCCCCUGCUUUCCAAGACAAUAUGAUGCUUCUCUACAUUCCAUGGACUAUGACAAGUAUAUCAGUCGUCGAAGUGGGUGGUUUAAUGGCAUGAUUAGCUCCAUUUUCUCUUCCUGCAGCAUAGCAAAGUGCAUAAAGCUUGAGCUCUGUGUCCAGCAGAUCUUUAUUAGAAUUCCAGUCCCCCCACAGUUACAUAUGCUCUCUCCCUGACAGUUUUCACAGAUGAAUCAUCCAGACUCCAUUUCCUAUUAGAGCUGGACCCUCCACUUGGACUUUUGACACUUAGACCCCUCUAGCCCACACAGGGACAUCAGUGCAAUAAUUCUCCCCUUUCUACAGCAUCAUUAAAUUUUGCCUCUCUCCUGGAUCAUCCCAUUCACAUAUUCAUAUGCUGUUAUUUCUCCCAUCUAAAACUGACCAGGCACUGUGGCUCAUGUCUAUAAUCCUAGCACUUUGGGAGGCCAAGGCUGGCAGAUCACUUGAGGCUAGGAGUUUGAGACCAGCCUGGCCAACAUGACAAAACCCCAUCUCUACUAAAAAUACAAAAAUUAGCAGGGUGUGCUGCACUCCAG
rnacentral:lncRNA from 10 species